rnacentral:rRNA from 1 species
AGUAAAUAGAUACCCUGGUAGUCCACGCCGUAAACGAUGUCGACUUGAAGGUUGUGCCCUUGAGGCGUGGCUUCCGGAGCUAAACGCGUUAAGUCGACCGCCUGGGGAGUACGGCCGCAAGGUUAAAACUCAAAUGAAUUGACGGGGGCCCGCACAAGCGGUGGAGCAUGUGGUUUAAUUCGAUGCAACGCGAAGAACCUUACCUACUCUUGACAUCCAGAGAACUUAGCAGAGAUGCUUUGGUGCCUUCGGGAACUCUGAGACAGGUGCUGCAUGGCUGUCGUCAGCUCGUGUUGUGAAAUGUUGGGUUAAGUCCCGCAACGAGCGCAACCCUUAUCCUUUGUUGCCAGCGGUUAGGCCGGGAACUCAAAGGAGACUGCCAGUGAUAAACUGGAGGAAGGUGGGGAUGACGUCAAGUCAUCAUGGCCCUUACGAGUAGGGCUACACACGUGCUACAAUGGCGCAUACGAAGAGAAGCGACCUCGCGAGAGCAAGCGGACCUCAUAAAGUGCGUCGUAGUCCGG